CCUACGGGGGGCAGCAGUGAGGAAUAUUGGUCAAUGGGCGGGAGCCUGAACCAGCCAAGCCGCGUGAAGGAAGAAGGCGCCAAGCGUCGUAAACUUCUUUUGUCGGGGAACAAAGGGCGCCACGUGUGGCGUUGUGAGUGUACCCGAAGAAAAAGCAUCGGCUAACUCCGUGCCAGCAGCCGCGGUAAUACGGAGGAUGCGAGCGUUAUCCGGAUUUAUUGGGUUUAAAGGGUGCGUAGGCGGUCCGGAAAGUCAGCGGUAAAAGCCCGGGGCUCAACCCCGGCGAGCCGUUGAAACUGUCGGAC
rnacentral:rRNA from 1 species